rnacentral:misc_RNA from 1 species
GAAUUACAUAGAUAUGACAAUAGAAUUCCUACUCCCUAAAUAGAAACAAGAAAGUUUGGCGUACAGCACAGAAUUAUAUAAUAUAUCGAAAUCAGUGUAAUAUACUUUUUAAUUCACUUGGAUCAGAAAAUCUAACAAGAGUUGCAGGAAUCAAAGAAAAAAAAAAAACAGUAUAUUCUCCUGACUAAACAGGAUUUGGGCACAAGUCACACUGGCCAAGAUGACACUCAUUUAUCAACACAUUUCCUAAGAUGGAUAGAAAACUCCACCUGAGGGAAUAAAUCAAUCCACGUCCACAAAAAUCUCUAAAUCAGGCAAUGGGACAUGGGUUUUCUUCUCUGAUUUGUCAAACACUGUAAUACCUGUUAUUUUCUGUACUCCAAGUUUAGUAGCAAUCAAGUUCAGGUGGAAAUCAG